GAUGAACGCUGGCGGCGUGCCUAAUACAUGCAAGUCGAGCGAACAGACGAGGAGCUUGCUCCUCUGACGUUAGCGGCGGACGGGUGAGUAACACGUGGAUAACCUACCUAUAAGACUGGGAUAACUUCGGGAAACCGGAGCUAAUACCGGAUAAUAUAUUGAACCGCAUGGUUCAAUAGUGAAAGGCGGUUUUGCUGUCACUUAUAGAUGGAUCCGCGCCGCAGUAGCUAGUUGGUAAGGUAACGGCUUACCAAGGAAACGAUGGGUAGCCGACCUGAGAGGGGGAUCGGCGACCAUGGAACUGAGACACGGCACAGAGUCUUAGGGGAGGCAGAAGCAGGGACUCUUCGGAAAUGGGCGAAAGCUUGACGGAGCAACGCCGCGUGAGUGAUGAAGGGCUUCGGAUCGUAAAACUCUGUUCUUAGGGAAGAACAAAUGUGUAAGUAACGAUGCACGUCUUGACGGUACCGAAUAAGAAAGCCACGGCUACCUACGU
rnacentral:rRNA from 1 species